CCGCCCCCCCCCCCCCCGGGCCCGCCCCUCCCCCCCCCGGGCCCGCCCCUCCCCCCCCGGGGGCGCUGGGGCAGCUCCGGGGUUACCUGGGCCAGGUGGGCUCGGCCGCCGGGAACCUCCUGGGGGGGCUGGACCUGCCCUCGGCGCCGCAGCGCAUCCGGACGGCGUACGAGCAGAGCGUGACGGCCGCGGUCACCUACAGCGGGAUCCUGACGGACCAACUCUACCACUGGUGGCAGGGGGAGCAGUGACCCCAAAAAUGACCCAAAAUCACCCCAAAAA